GUGCCAGCCGCCGCGGUAAUACGAAGGGGGCUAGCGUUGUUCGGAUUUACUGGGCGUAAAGCGCACGUAGGCGGAUUGUUAAGUUAGGGGUGAAAUCCUGGAGCUCAACUCCAGAACUGCCUUUAAUACUGGCAAUCUCGAGUCCGGAAGAGGUAAGUGGAACUCCUAGUGUAGAGGUGGAAUUCGUAGAUAUUAGGAAGAACACCAGUGGCGAAGGCGGCUUACUGGUCCGGUACUGACGCUGAGGUGCGAAAGCGUGGGGAGCAAACAGGAUUAGAUACCCUCGUAGUCC
rnacentral:rRNA from 1 species